CCGGCUGAUUUUAAUUUUUUUUUUUUCAUUUUCUUUUUUCUGCUUGAAAACCGGUUGGUCCCCCCACCCCCUCUCUCUCUGAAAUUUCUCGUCCGUACAGUCCCAUCCCCCUCGGCGUCCGCGUCCCUCCAACCGGCAGUCCCCCUCUCUCUCAACUGCAGCAUCCGUACAGUCCCCCGUGCAGUCCCCGUCCCUCUCGGCGGCUUCCUUCUCGGCGUCCGGCGUCGCUCUCCGGCAGUCCCCCUCGAUCUCUCUCUCUCUCUGCAUCGUCCGGAGCUCAGUCGCCGGUAGUCCACGUCCAUCUCGGCGGCUUCCUUCUCGGCGCCCGGCGUCCCUCUCCGGCAGUCCCCCUCUCUCUCUCUCUCUCUCUCUCUCUCUGUGCAUCGUCCGGAGCUCAGUCGCCGGUAGUCCCCGUCCCUGUCGACGGUCAGCCUCAUCCGUCGUCCGGCGUCCCCUUCCGGCUAAAAAAACAGAUCUUCUACUUGAAUGCACCCCGAUUUGGGCUCAAGCGGAUUUUUUUGGAGGAUUUUUUAUUUGGGGUCACACUUAUACCAUGGACACAAUUUCGGUUGCGGUUCACUUCUGAUUGAUUUGGAUUGGCUACAAGCUUGCUGAUUUUAUCUACCAGGGUCACUUAGAAGGUCACGAAAAGUAUAAAAGAAAAGUACAUAAUACAUAGUUAUUUGUAUUGCUUUAACAUUUUUACCUAUUAUGGUCACUUUAUGUGGUUGAUUUCCUUAUGGUUGUGUCAAGACAAUAAUGUCUUUCCUUGUAACAAUG